rnacentral:rRNA from 1 species
CCGCGGUAAUACGAAGGGACCUAGCGUAGUUCGGAAUUACUGGGCUUAAAGAGUUCGUAGGUGGUUGAAAAAGUUAGUGGUGAAAUCCCAGAGCUUAACUCUGGAACUGCCAUUAAAACUUUUCAGCUAGAGUAUGAUAGAGGAAAGCAGAAUUUCUAGUGUAGAGGUGAAAUUCGUAGAUAUUAGAAAGAAUACCAAUUGCGAAGGCAGCUUUCUGGAUCAUUACUGACACUGAGGAACGAAAGCAUGGGUAGCGAAGAGGAUUAGAUACCCUCGUAGUCCAUGCCGUAAACGAUGUGUGUUAGACGUUGGAAAUUUAUUUUCAGUGUCGCAGGGAAACCGAUAAACACACCGCCUGGGGAGUACGACCGCAAGGUUAAAACUCAAAUGAAUUGACGGGGACCCGCACAAGUAGUGGAGCAUGUGGUUUAAUUCGAAGAUACGCGCAGAACCUUACCAACACUUGACAUGUUCGUCGCGACUCUAAGAGAUUAGAGUUUUCGGUUCGGCCGGACGAAACACAGGUGCUGCAUGGCUGUCGUCAGCUCGUGUCGUGAGAUGUUGGGUUAAGUCCCGCAACGAGCGCAACCCUCACUUUUAGUUGCCAUCAUUAAGUUGGGCACUCUGAAAGAACUGCCAGUGAUAAGCUGGAGGAAGGUGGGGAUGACGUCAAGUCCUCAUGGCCCUUACGUGUUGGGCUACACACGUGCUACAAUGGUAUCUACAACAGGAAGCAAGACUGCGAAGUUAAGCAAAUCCCUAAAAGAUACCUCAGUUCGGAUUGCACUCUGCAACUCGAGUGCAUGAAGCUGGAAUUACUAGUAAUCGUGGAUCAGCGUGCCACGGUGAAUGCGUUCCCGGGUCUUGUACACACCGCCCGUCACACCAUGGGAGUUGGUUCUACCUUAAGGCAAGGUUUCAAACCCUUGACCACGGUAUAGUCAGCGACUGGGGUGAAGUCGUAACAAGGUAGCCGUAAAUCUCUAGAGUUCCCCGGUGCCGAGCACAAUUUG